rnacentral:lncRNA from 1 species
UCUCACCAGGAAACAGAGGCUAAAGUAUACAAAAAGCAAAAAAAAAUAAUUAAAAAUAAAAUAUAAAUUCAAUAAUGUCAUAACUAACAGGUCAAGAACAGAGUAUUAUUAUUGCAAAGAACCUGUCCUAGAAGAAGUUCAGCAAGAACACAACCGACCGACCAUACAUCAAUGGCAGUUGUGUAUUCAGUUGCCCCAAAAAUGAGUUCAGAACUUUCGCGCUUCCAAAGUCACAGAGUUUGAG